CACGUAUGCAACCUACCUUCAACUUGGGGAAUAGCCCGAAGAAAUUCGGAUUAAUAGCCCAUAAUAAUAGAAAUUCGCAUGUCUUUCUAUUUGAAACUCCGGUGGUUGAAGAUGGGCAUGCGCCCUAUAGUUGAGUCUGGUGAGGUAACGGCUCACCAAGACUCCGAUAGGUAGGGGUUCUGAGAGGAAGAUCCCCCACACUGGUACUGAGACACGGACCAGACUCCUACGGGAGGCAGCAGUGAGGAAUAUUGGACAAUGGACGAAAGUCUGAUCCAGCCAUGCCGCGUGUAGGAAGACUGCCCUCUGGGUUGUAAACUACUUUUAUAAGGGAAUAAACCCCCGUACGUGUACGGGGCUGAAUGUACCUUAAGAAUAAGCACCGGCUAACUCUGUGCCAGCAGCCGCGGUAAUACGAGAGGGUGCAAGCGUUAUCCGGAUUUAUUGGGUUAACAGGGUCCGUAGGUGGAAUUGUAAGUCAGUGGUGAACUCUUUCGGCUUAACCGGACAACUGCCAAUGAUAAUGCAGUUCCUUGAGUAUGCUCGAGGUAGGCUGGAUAGGUCAUGUACCGUUGAAAUGCAUAGAUAUGACAUAGGACACCAAUAGCGAAAGUCAGCUUACCAGAUCAUNACUGACACUGAGGUACGAAAGCUUGGUGAUCGAACAGGAUUAGAUACCCUGGUAGUCCACGCCGUAAACGAUGAUCACUAGACAUUGGCGACAUACUGUCGGUGUCAAAGCGAAAGUAUUAAGUGAUCCACCUGGGGAGUACGUCCGCAAGGAUGAAACUCAAAGGAAUUGACGGGGGUCCGCACAAUCCGGUGGAGCUAUGUUGGUCUUAACUUCGAUGAUACGCGAGGAACCUUACCUGGGCUCGAAUGGUAGUGGACGGUACGAGAAAUCGUACUUCCUUCGGGCUGCUGUCAAGGUGCUGCAUGGCUGUCGUCAGCUCGUGCCGUGAGGUGUUGGGUUAAGUCCCGCAACGAGCGCAACCCUUAUACUUAGUUGCCAGCACGUGAUGGUGGGGACUCUAAGUAGACUGCCUGCGCAAGCAGAGAGGAAGGAGGGGAUGACGUCAAGUCAUCAUGGCCCUUACGCCCAGGGCUACACACGUGCUACAAUGGCGCAUACAGAGGGUAGCUACAGAGUGAUCUGAUGCCAAUCUCAAAAAGUGCGUCUCAGUUCGGAUUGAGGUCUGCAACUCGACCUCAUGAAGUCGGAAUCGCUAGUAAUCGCGCAUCAGCCAUGGCGCGGUGAUACGUUCCCGGACCUUGUACACACCGCCCGUCAAGCCAUGGGAGUUGGG
rnacentral:rRNA from 1 species